rnacentral:rRNA from 1 species
GACGAACGCUGGCGGCGUGCUUAACACAUGCAAGUCGAACGGAAAGGCCUGCUUUCCCUUGUGGAUUGCGGGUACUCGAGUGGCGAACGGGUGAGUAACACGUGAGUGAUCUGCCCCCAACUUGGGUAUAAGCCUGGGAAACUGGGUCUAAUUUCCGAUAGGACUGCAGGGUGGUGCCUGUGGUGGAAAACGAUUUUCUAGUGGUUGGGGAUGAGCUCGCGGCCUAUCAGCUUGUUGGUGGGGUAAUGGCCUACCAAGGCGGCGACGGGUAGCCGGCCUGAGAGGGUGGACGGCCACAUUGGGACUGGGAUACGGCCCAGACUCCUACGGGAGGCAGCAGUGGGGAAUAUUGCACAAUGGGCGGAAGCCUGAUGCAGCGACGCCGCGUGGGGGAUGACGGCCUUCGGGUUGUAAACUCCUUUCGACCGCGAGGAAGCCACCUGGUUGGAAGGGUGGUGACGGUAGUGGUAGAAGAAGCACCGGCUAACUACGUG